GACGAACGCUGGCGGCGUGCUUAACACAUGCAAGUCGAACGAAAAGCGAUGGAAGCUUGCUUCUCUCAGUCUUAGUGGCGAACGGGUGAGUCACGCGUAAUCAACCUUCCCUUCAGAGGGGGACAACAGUUGGAAACGACUACUCAUACCGCAUACGAUCUAAUCUCGGCAUCGAGGAUAGAUGAAAGGUGGCCUCUACAUGUAAGCUAUCACUUCAGCUGGGGAUUGCGGCUGUUUAGGUAGUUGGCGGGGUAACGUACCAUCAAGGCGAGGUUCAGGAGCCGGAAGGGUAGGAUGAACGGCCAGACUGGGAGUGAGACACGGCCCAGAGGGCUACGGGAAGGAGCCGGAGGGCAACGGGCGGAAUGGACGGAAGACAGACGGCGAAAGGCCGCGUGAGUGAUGACGGACGUCGGGUUGUAAAGCUCGGUUAAUCGGGACGAAAGGGCUUCUUGCGAAUAGGGAGAAGGAUUGACGGUACCGGAAAAGAAAGCCACGGCUAACUACGUG
rnacentral:rRNA from 1 species